rnacentral:lncRNA from 1 species
AGAGCGUCAGCCCCUGUAUUCACCGGCCUCUCCCUGAGUCCCUCCUCCAUCACCACCCACAGACCCUCACACUACAGAGGGACCCCAGGAAAGGUAUCCAGAACCAUGGAGUCCCACUGCUGUCUGCUCCUCGCCCAGCGUAGAGAUGGAGCUGAACUGUGAACCCAGGCCGAGAAAGCCAGCUCGGGCAGGGCCAGCAUGGGCAUCUCCUGAGACCCCACCGGAAGCCCUGGACACCGUCCAUUCUCAUGACACGGGACUGAGGGAGCAGGAGGGAGUGACAACAGAAAAGGGGGAUCCCUGAAGCACUUGGGAAGGAGGCCCCACCCAGGCACCAUUAGACCUCGAGCCUUCCCCUACCAAGAAAGGCUGUUCCAUGGUCUCUAGACAAGAAACUGAGGCCAAAGAACGGAAAUGACCUGCCCGAGGUCACACAGCGGGUCAGUGACAGAGCCAGGCUGGCACUGAAACGCGCUGGUUGGAGCCCAUGCCCAGGGCUGAUUCUCUGGGAAGGCAGCUGAGGCAGCAGGCUUCAUCCACUAGAGCCCUGUGCCAUGGGCCAGCCCCAUUCACUGCCAGCAGCAUUUCUUGCAGAUGCAGAAGCAGCAGGUGAGAAGCAGGAGCCCAGCAACCACAGCAAUGGCGAUCAGUGCCCAGGGUGGUACUGCCCACACAGAGAAGAUCCCAGGGUCAGCAGUGCCAUGCCUUGCAGCCCCUGACCCCGUAGCAUUGGGAAAAAUGGGUGAGGAAUAUGACUGCCAUCCCACAAUGCCCACACCCCACAUUUUAAAAGCCACACACCCAUGAGUGAUUUGUAUGUAAGGUGCAUAUACUUUGCAUGCCUUUUCAAUCAUGCCUUGCUUUUUUUUUUUUUUUUUUUUUUUUUGCCUACUGUCCUUGUUGGUAUAGCCUGCUAGCUGAGAGGUAGCAACCAGGUGGAUGCAUGGAAGAAUAUCAGUUUAGCUCUAUUGAGUUUUACUAGUGUGAUCUAUGGAGGACUGGCUCACUCUAGAGAGGAUGGGAUGAUGCUUAUCAGUCCUUUGGCCUCUGCCCCUUGUGCCAAGUCUUGAGA